UACGUAGGGUGCGAGCGUUAAUCGGAAUUACUGGGCGUAAAGCGUGCGCAGGCGGUUCGUUAAGUUCGAUGUGAAAGCCCCGGGCUCAACCUGGGAACUGCAUUGGAAACUGGCGAGCUUGGAAUGCGGCAGAGGGGGGUGGAAUUCCGCGUGUAGCAGUGAAAUGCGUAGAGAUGCGGAGGAACACCGAUGGCGAAGGCAGCCCCCUGGGCCGACAUUGACGCUCAGGCACGAAAGCGUGGGGAGCAAACAGG
rnacentral:rRNA from 1 species